rnacentral:rRNA from 1 species
UACAGGGGGUGCAAACGUUGCUCGGAAUCAUUGGGCGUAAAGCGCACGUAGGCGGCUUGGUAUGUCGGGUGUGAAAUCCCCGGGCUCAACCUGGGAACUGCAUCCGAAACUGCCUUGCUCGAGUAUGGGAGAGGGAAGUGGAAUUUCCGGUGUAGCGGUGAAAUGCGUAGAUAUCUGGAGGAACACCGGUGGCGAAGGCGGCCUGCUGGGCAGUUUAGCUGACACUGAGGCGCGACAGCGUGGGGAGCAAACAGG